UACGUAGGGUGCGAGCGUUGUCCGGAAUUAUUGGGCCUAAAGCAUCCGUAGCCGGUCAUGCAAGUCCUCCGUUAAAUCCACCUGCUUAACAGAUGGGCUGCGGAGGAUACUACAAGGCUAGGAGGCGGAAGAGGCAAGCGGUACUCAGUGGGUAGGGGUAAAAUCCUCUGAUCCAUUGAAGACCACCAGUGGCGAAGGCGGCUUGCCAAUACGCGCUCGACGGUGAGGGAUGAAAGCUGGGGGAGCAAACCGG
rnacentral:rRNA from 1 species